rnacentral:rRNA from 1 species
AGGACGAACGCUGGCGGCGCGCUUAACACAUGCAAGUCGAGCGAGAACCAGGGCUUCGGCUCUGGGGACAGCGGCGAACGGGUGAGUAACACGUGGGUAAUCAACCCUCGACAUCGGGAUAGCCCGGGGAAAACCCGGAUUAAUACCGAAUGCCCCGUCUGGCCUUCGGGCCGGCCGGAAAAGGUAGCUUCGGCCUCCGGUCGGGGACGAGCCCGCGGCGGAUUAGCUUGUUGGUGGGGUAAAGGCCCACCAAGGCGACGAUCCGUAGCUGGUCUGAGAGGACGAUCAGCCACACUGGGACUGAGACACGGCCCAGACUCCUACGGGAGGCAGCAGUGGGGAAUCUUGCGCAAUGGGCGAAAGCCCGACGCAGCGACGCCGCGUGAGGGAAGAAGGCCUUCGGGUUGUAAACCUCUUUCAGGAGGGACGAAGCCACUCGGGUUAAUAGCCCAGAGGGUGACGGUACCUCCAGAAGAAGCCCCGGCUAACUACGUGCCAGCAGCCGU